rnacentral:misc_RNA from 1 species
UCAAACUUGGUCAUUUAGAGGAAGUAAAAGUCGUAACAAGGUUUCCGUAGGUGAACCUGCGGAAGGAUCAUUAUUGAAUAAUUUGCCUUGAUAGGUUGUCGCUGGCCUCUUGAGGCAUGUGCACGCCUGUCUUGACUCUAUUCAUCCACCUGUGCACUUAUUGUAGUCCUUUACUCUUUGAUGGUCAAGAAAACAGGCUGUUAUUCAGUUGAAACACACUGGAUUUGAGGAUUGCCUUUUUGGCUCUCCUCUCUCUGGCUUUGUGAAAUCUUGUCUUCUUGGGAAAGGGACUAUGUCUUUUAAUAAACCACGUAGUAUGUUACCAGAAUGUAUUCAAUGGGCCUUUGUGCCUAUAAAAUCUUAUACAACUUUCAGCAACGGAUCUCUUGGCUCUCGCAUCGAUGAAGAACGCAGC